UGGUGAUCUAGCGCCUCGACAUGGUGCGACGGUCGGAUUGAAAGUGGCAAUGACGGAGAGGAGAAAGGAGAAAUGGGGUGGCUAUGGUUUUGGCUACUGUCAUCCGGCUUAAAUAGCUGACCUCCUCCCUCGAGCGACACGAUGGAGCGGCGUCACAUGGUGUGGUAGUACUGAAAAAAGACUUAUAGAUGACCUCAAAUGAGUGACGGGCACUACCAGGUACCCACCACUCAAAUACGUAAAGGAGCGGCAUGCGGAAAUAACUGCCCAUCACAGGUAAACUAUGCGAAGUUCGUUGCGUGAUAAAAACUACCAAUGACGGGCCGCAAAUACCUGCCCGUCCUUGAUUUAUGACUCAACGGUGAUGACGAGAAUUAUGUCUGCCACAAAUAUAUUUGUGUAAC
rnacentral:lncRNA from 1 species